AAAUGUUUUUUGGAAAAUUCACUUUUUCAGGGUUUUUUUCUCUAGAUUAAAACAACGCAUGUGCUGUAUGUGAAAAUAUAGAAAACGAAAUGGCGGACGAAAGCAGACGAUCGACUGCAGCACAGUUCUUCAUGGACGAGGAAGACAAACACAAUGAGUCGAUAUCGACUUAUGAUAAGGUUGUUGAACUCAUUAAUCAGGCUUCUUUGAUGUCAAAGGAAGCCCAAAAGAUAAACAUUCUCAGACAGGUUCAAGAAUUAAUCAUUCACAAGGAUCCGACUUUGCUUGAUAAUUUCUUAGAUGAAAUGCUUGCUUUUCAAAGUGACCGGUCAGUUGAUGUGAAGAAAUAUGUGAUAACCUUCAUGGAAGAGGCUUGUAAGAAAGAUCCUGAGCUGUUAAACAAGAUACUGCCCUGUCUGCAAAUUCUUCUGCAAGAUGAUAAUGUCAAUGUCCAAAAGAAAGUCAUAUUGUCUUUACCUCAAGUUUAUAAAGUCAUAGUAAAAUGGCUCGCUAAGGCCAAAAAUGUAACAGAAGAAAAAUCUUUUGUGUGGGAGACUAUGAAAUCCCUGAAAAACAGAAUGUUCGAGCUUAUUGACUCAGAGAAUGAUGGAAUAAGAACUCAUGUUGUGAAGUUUAUGGAAGGGGUUAUUUUGACUCUGUCUCGUAAAACUCCGGAUUCAGAGGUACCAAAAUCUUCCAAGCCUGAUGCUGAGGUCACUUUGGAUCUUGUUCCAGAGGACAACAAGUAUCUAAAAGUCAAACGUUUGGAGGAGCAAGGCAAACAGAUGUUUGAAACACUUCUGCAAUUCCAAGCCUCACCUCACAUUUCCAGUAUAAACCUGAUGACAGUCAUGGGAAGUCUGACCACCAUAGCCAGACAGAGGCCGUACUUCUUCGGGAAGGUGGUGCAGUCUUUUGAGACUUUGCAGGUAAAUCUUCCGCCCACACUGGCGAAGUCUCAGGUGAGCAGUGUGCGUAAGAACAUGAAGAUGCACAUGUUGUCCCUGCUGAAACACAAGGCCUCAGUGGACUACAUCACACAGAUAACCACACUCCUGACAGACCUGGGGGCCACCAACUCGGAGGUGAUGAAGAAUAUGCCAAAGAUUGACGAGAGCAGGAAGAGGAAGCUGGAGGACUCGGGCGGUACAACAAAGAAAGCCAAAAUAGAGAGUGAGAUUGAAUUGGAUGAUGACGAUGCUGGCAUGACUCCUUUUGUGGAUCGCUCUAAAGUAAAAGCACCUGCAACCCUCAAACAGCGACAGACUGCGGUAGACAUCACCGCUGAGGACAUCAUCCCCCGCCUGACUCCACAGAAUGUGGCAGAUCUUGUCCUGAUUAGCAUGGUGAUGUUGCCAGACCAGCUUCCUCCCCAUUUCCAGGCAACCUACACCCCCAUCGCUGCUGCCGGGACAGAGGGACAGAUAAAACACAUGGGGCGCCUACUGGCCAAUCAGCUCACUGCUGCUGGAAUGGGCAAGGGCAUCGCUGAAGUCCAGCUAGAGGAGGUGUCUGAGGAGGAUGGAGGGGCGUCCCCUGAGUACCAGCCCACCUCUCCUAAACAGGUUAUACAGACAGUUGUAGGUGGCCUUACAGAAGCACUUGGGCCGUCAUCUUCAAAGGCAGCUAAUCUACCAGCAGCUCCACAAAUACGAUCUGUGAGACCUGGAAUCAAACAAUUCAAGCUGUCCACAGUGACCUCUGACCUGGACAGAGACAGGUUGGAUGAAAUGACCAUCGCCUCAGUCAAACGAAUCCUACAAGCAGAGAGUAAGGCAGAACCAGCCCUCGUGUAUAAGUAUUACUUAUUAUUGUGAUACUCACUAAUAGUGUUAUGUUUUUUCUUUUAAUCAGAAAGUGCAUCAUUAGGGAAUGCUUUGUCAGCCAGAACCAAACUACUGACUAGCCUUGUGUCACAGUUUGGUGGAGAAUUAAAAAACUUGCUACAAGAAUAUAUAUUUGAGGACCUGCGUAAUCGUUCUGACCUUGCCUUUGCCUGGCUGUACCAGGAGUAUGCCAACUGUCAGGGAUUCUGCGCGUCUAAUCUUCGCAAUGAGCGGACCUCCCUGGCCAGCUAUGAUGAAUGCCUGACAAGGCUGUUAUCAGGCCUCCUUGAGCGAACUGAACAGACCACAAAGGAGGGAUUGUUUCAUCGUCUAAUUUUGGAAGCUCCUGCCAUCACUGAUAAUGCCAUUCAAAUUCUCAAGAAAUAUUGCAUGGACCAGGAUCGGGUGGUGAGUGGGAUCAACACGCUGCGUCAGCUGAUCCUGACACGCCCCGCCCACAGACUGAGGUUCUUAGAGGUCCUCCUUAUGUCAUGUCACCAUGACAUGCCUGAGGUCAGGGCCACUGCCAUCCACUGCAGUAAACAGCUGUAUGAGAAGGGGCACAUCAGGCCCUACAUAGAGCAAUAUGCCACAAAAAUGUUGAAGAAUCUCUUGCUAACAAAACCACCCACAGAGAUGCUUGGGAAAAGUAAAAAUGACCCUGCCUUGCAGUCCUGGACUGAGGACACUAUCAAGAUGUGUCUGUACCUGUAUCUCGGCCUCCUGCCCAACAAUCACAAGCUGAUUCACCAAUUGGCAAUGGUGUACACCUCAGCUGGAGCUGACAUCAAAAGAAUCAUUCUUCGAGCUCUAGAGAACCCAGUUAAAGGAAUGGGAAUGAAAUCACCCGAGCUGUUGACUCUUGUGGAGAGUUGUCCCAAGGGAGCAGAGACCCUCGUGACCAGGGUCAUUCAUAUCCUGACUGAUAAAGCCUCUCCAUCGCCUGAGUUGGUGGAACGAGUCCGAGACCUUUAUCACAAGCGAGUACCCGAUGUCCGAUUCCUCAUACCUGUACUUACAGGGCUAUCAAAGGAUGAAGUAAUACAAGCUCUACCUAAACUCAUCAAGCUGAACCCCAUUGUUGUAAAGGAGGUGUUUAACCGUCUGCUCGGUGGCCAUAGUGACGCCAACUACACAUCUCCUCUCACUCCGGUCGAUCUGUUGAUAGCACUGCACAACAUUGACCCAACCAAGUGUGACAUGAAGACCAUAAUCAAAGCCACCAACCUGUGCUUCAGUGAGAAGAAUAUUUACACCCAGGAGGUGUUGGCUGUGGUGAUGAAGACUCUGAUGGAGCAGGACCCCCUACCCACACUGUUCAUGAGGACCGUCCUACAGUCCCUAUCAAUGUACCCCAGGCUGAUGGGCUUCAUCCUCAACAUCCUACAGAGACUCAUAUCUAAAGAGGUUUGGAAGAACAAGAAGGUAUGGGAGGGAUUUAUCCGCUGUUGUCAGAAGAUGAAGCCUCAGUCCUUCACUGUUCUACUACAGCUCAGGGCUCCCCAGCUCAAGAGUGUAUUUGAGAGUUGUCCCGACCUCAGGGAGCCCCUUCUGACACAUGUCAACUCUUUUGCUCCAAACCAGAAAGCCCACCUACCAAAGACAGUGUUAGCUGUACUGGAGAAUCCCCCGGAGGUAGCCCCUGCUCCAGCCCAGCCGACUGAGGGAGCUCCCUCAACCCCCACCAUUCUCCCUGCUACACCCACAGUCCUUACAGCCCCACCAACACAGGCGACCAUGGUGAAGGUCGAGGAAUCAGCCCCUGCACCUAUGGAGACUCAGACCAUACAAACGGUCCAGUCUAUACAGACAAUAGGCUCAAACUUGGUUCAGAUAAAGCAAGAGCCACAUGAUGUUGAUGAGACAGCAGCACAAGUAUCAGAAAACAGAGACAAACAGGCCAAGUCAUCCAGCGACAGAAAAGAGACCCCCUCCAGAAGAGGCUUAAAGAGGUCAACAGAGGAUAAACCUGACACUGAAAUGGAGGAGGUGGACUCCCCAGAGAAUGCCCUGGCCAUUGCUGAGGAGGCCAUGGAUACAUCUGUUAACAAUGACUCCCAGGGAGAUCAGUCUCAAGAUUCCACAGGAGAUAGUACUUCAAAAAAAUCAAGGAGCCGGUCAAAAUCAUCAGAAUCUAGGUCAUCAGAAACUAGGUCAACUGAAGGAGAGGUCAGGCCGAGAAGAAGCACAAGAUCACGGAAAUAAAUCCCAUUAUGUUAUCAGUGCUUGUUGAAAAGAGAUUUGUUCAGUUUGUAGGCUGAUUUCAAACUUUACAUAAUAUUGGUACAUGUUAAGUGUACCGGUACAUACAAAAAUGUUUAGUAAGACAAUAAAUAUUUUGACUAU
rnacentral:misc_RNA from 1 species